rnacentral:rRNA from 1 species
UACGAGGGGGGCGAGCGUUGUUCGGAAUUAUUGGGCGUAAAGGGUGCGUAGGCGGUUUGAUAAGUCUGAUGUGAAAUCUAUGGGCUCAACCCAUAGUCUGCAUUAGAAACUGUCGGGCUUGAGUAUGGGAGAGGUGAGUGGAAUUCCUGGUGUAGCGGUGAAAUGCGUAGAUAUCAGGAGGAACACCUGUGGCGAAAGCGGCUCACUGGACCAUAACUGACGCUGAUGCACGAAAGCUAGGGGAGCAAACAGG